CCUACGGGUGGCAGCAGUGAGGAAUAUUGGUCAAUGGGCGCGAGCCUGAACCAGCCAAGUCGCGUGAGGGAGGACGGCCCUACGGGUUGUAAACCUCUUUUGCCGGGGAGCAACGGGCGUCACGUGUGGCGCCACUGAGAGUACCCGGAGAAAAAGCAUCGGCUAACUCCGUGCCAGCAGCCGCGGUAAUACGGAGGAUGCGAGCGUUAUCCGGAUUUAUUGGGUUUAAAGGGUGCGUAGGCGGAUCGUUAAGUCAGUGGUCAAAUUGAGGGGCUCAACCCCUUCCCGCCAUUGAAACUGGCGCUCUUGAGUGGAAGAGAAGUAUGCGGAAUGCGUGGUGUAGCGGUGAAAUGCAUAGAUAUCAUGAAGAACUCCGAUCGCGAAGGCAAGUGUCCGGGGUGCAACUGACGCUGAGGCUCGAAAGUGCGGGUAUCAAACAGGAUUAGAUACCCCUGUAGUC
rnacentral:rRNA from 1 species